AGAGUUUGAUCCUGGCUCAGGAUGAACGCUGGCGGCGUGCCUAACACAUGCAAGUCGAACGGACUAUCAAGUGAUGUUUUCGGACUGAACUUUUUAGUUUAGUGGCGGACGGGUGAGUAAGCGUGGACAACCUGCCUCUCACUGGGGGAUAGCAGCUGGAAACGGCUGGUAAUACCGCAUCGUUCAAUGUGCCGCAUGACACAUUGAAGAAAGAUUUAUCGGUGAGAGAUGGGUCCGCGUUGAUUAGCCAGUUGGCGGGGUAACGGCCCACCAAAGCGACGAUCAGUAGCCGGCCUGAGAGGCGGACGGCCACAUUGGGACUGAGACACGGCCCAGACUCCUACGGGAGGCAGCAGUGGGGAUAUUGCACAAUGGGCGCAAGCCUGAUGCAGCGACGCCGCGUGAGUGAAGAAGUAUUUCGUAUGUAAAGCUCUAUCAGCAGGGAAGAAAGACCCGCAAGGGGGAUGACGGUACCUGACUAGAAGCCCCGGCUAACUACGUGCCAGCAGCCGCGGUAAUACGUAGGGGGCAAGCGUUAUCGGAUUUACUGGGUGUAAAGGGAGCGCAGACGGAACUGCAAGUCUGAUGUGAAAGCCCGGGCUCAACCGCGGGACUGCAUCGGAUACUGUGGAUCUGGAGUGCCGGAGGGGCAAGCGGAAUCCUGGUGUAGCGGUGAAAUGCGUAGAUAUCACGAGGAACACCGGCGGCGAAAGCGGCUUGUGGACGGCAACUGACGUUGAGGCUCGAAAGCGUGGGGAGCAAACAGGAUUAGAUACCCUGUAGUCCACGCUGUAAACGAUGAAUACUAGGUGUGGGCAUGCAAGGCAUGUCCGUGCCGCACUAACGCAUUAAGUAUUCCACCUGGGGAGUACGUUCGC
rnacentral:rRNA from 1 species